rnacentral:lncRNA from 1 species
GAUUCAGACCUUGACAGUUGUAACUGAUAGACAGGGCUGGGGCAAUGCUGAUGAAAGGCAAAUUCCUGAGAGAAAAAUCACCCAAAUUUUUCAGUGCCUUCUCUAGCUUUCUAGAAGUUGUUAUGAGUGGACCUGACUACCUAGAGAGAGUAAUACAGAAGCUCCAUGCCGAUCACAGCUACCUCAUUACCAAGUUCCUCCAAGAUGGCCGCCCCUGAGGAGAAUCAUCAACUGGGCUUUACGGAAGAGAGAAAUCCAAACGACCAUCAGCAACAAAUGAAAGACUGAAGUUGAAAGGAAAAUGGCUUCCCCAGCAGCAGGAAUUGCUGAGAAAGUGAUAUUUAGUCAAGUGCUAAGAAGAGUGCUAUAAAACAUUGUUUAACCUGCAGAAGCAGUGUAUGUCUGUUGUAAAAAAAUAAAAUAAAUAAACACUAAAGAAAAACAUGUUUUUUAAAAAGUUCACUUCUACUCUAAUUGUUUCAAUCUUCUCCAG